GUCCUGGUCGAUUAGUGGUUAAAUCAUCUCGUUGUGGUUCCCACCGUUGAAUACUUGCAACCGAGAAGCCGAGGGCUCGACUCCCUCCCGGGACA